UAUUGGAUGGCUUUCUUGCUCUAUUUUUUGUACUACCUGUCUCUCUAUUUUCUAAUUGAUCACUGACAAUGGUAUAACUUAAUUCUUCGUCUGUA